GUCUAUGGCCAUGCUACCCUGAACAUGCCCUCUCCCCUCUGAUCUCGGAAGCUAAGCUAGGUUGGGCCUGAUUAGUACUUGGAUGGGAGACCACCUAGGAAGACCAGGUGUUGUAGGUG
rnacentral:rRNA from 1 species